CACCGGGCUUAUAACUGGAUGGAGUGUUGUUUUUACUUUCAGUCUCACUCUGUCUUUUAAGUGUCCGGGAGAAUAAAAAAGAGAUGCUUCUUACACGAUGCUGAGCAACGUUCGUUUUUCGAAUAGUCUCGUGCUCUUGAUCGUUUACUUCUCUAUGACAUCU
rfam:Cyberlindnera jadinii strain CBS1600 genome assembly, contig: CJ7